CCUACGGGUGGCUGCAGUCGAGGAUCUUCGGCAAUGGGCGCAAGCCUGACCGAGCGACGCCGCGUGCGGGAUGAAGGCCUUCGGGUUGUAAACCGCUGUCGGAGGGGAGGAAAUGCCUGGGGGUUCUCCCCCAGGUUUGACCUAUCCUCAAAGGAAGUACGGGCUAAGUUCGUGCCAGCAGCCGCGGUAAGACGAACCGUACGAACGUUAUUCGGAAUCACUGGGCUUAAAGGGUGCGUAGGCUGUGCAGAAAGUUGGGUGUGAAAUCCCUCGGCUUAACCGAGGAACUGCGCCCAAAACUACUGUGCUCGAGGAAGACAGAGGUGAGCGGAACUUAGGGUGGAGCGGUGAAAUGCGUUGAUAUCCUAAGGAACACCGGUGGCGAAAGCGGCUCACUGGGUCUUUUCUGACGCUGAUGCACGAAAGCUAGGGUAGCGAAC
rnacentral:rRNA from 1 species